GUCCCUGUAGCGCAAUGGUUAACGCGUUGGACUGCUAAUCCAAAGGUCGUGAGUUUGAAUCCCACCUGGGAAG
rnacentral:tRNA from 1 species